AUACGGGGGGUGCAAGCGUUAUUCGGAUUUAUAGGGCGUAAAGAGCGCGUAGGCGGCUUGGUAAGUCAGAUGUGAAAGCCCGGGGCUCAACCCCGGAAGUGCAUUUGAAACUAUCAGGCUUGAGUAUGGGAGAGGGAAGUGGAAUUCCUGGUGUAGAGGUAAAAUUCGUAGAUAUCAAGAGGAACACCGGUGGCGAAGGCGACUUCCUGGACCAAUACUGACGCUGAGGCGCGAAGGCGUGGGGAGCAAACAGGAUUAGAAACCCGAGUAGUCC
rnacentral:rRNA from 1 species